rnacentral:rRNA from 1 species
GAUAAGCGUUGGAAACGACGUCUAAUACCGGAUACGAGCUUCCACCGCAUGGUGAGUUGCUGGAAAGAAUUUUGGUCAAGGAUGGACUCGCGGCCUAUCAGCUUGUUGGUGAGGUAAUGGCUCACCAAGGCGACGACGGGUAGCCGGCCUGAGAGGGUGACCGGCCACACUGGGACUGAGACACGGCCCAGACUCCUACGGGAGGCAGCAGUGGGGAAUAUUGCACAAUGGGCGAAAGCCUGAUGCAGCAACGCCGCGUGAGGGACGACGGCCUUCGGGUUGUAAACCUCUUUUAGCAGGGAAGAAGCGAAAGUGACGGUACCUGCAGAAAAAGCACCGGCUAACUACGUGCCAGCAGCCGCGGUAAUACGUAGGGUGCAAGCGUUGUCCGGAAUUAUUGGGCGUAAAGAGCUCGUAGGCGGUUUGUCGCGUCUGCUGUGAAAUCCCGAGGCUCAACCUCGGGUCUGCAGUGGGUACGGGCAGACUACAGUGCGGUAGGG